GGGGCCAUAGCUCAGUUGGGAGAGCGCGUCGUUCGCAAUGACGAGGUCGGCGGUUCAAUUCCGCCUGGCUCCACCA
rnacentral:tRNA from 1 species